AUUGAACGCUGGCGGAAUGCUUUACACACGCAAGUCGAACGGCAGCACGGGGGCAGCCCUGGUGGCGAGUGGCGAACGGGUGAGUAAUACAUCGGAACGUGCCCGGUCGUGGGGGAUAACGUAGCGAAAGUUACGCUAAUACCGCAUACGAUCUGAGGAUGAAAGCGGGGGACCUUCGGGCCUCGCGCGAUCGGAGCGGCCGAUGUCAGAUUAGGUAGUUGGUGGGGUAAAGGCCUACCAAGCCGACGAUCUGUAGCUGGUCUGAGAGGACGACCAGCCACACUGGAACUGAGACACGGCCCAGAGUCCUACGGGAGGCAGCAGUGGGGAAUUUUGGACAAUGGGCGCAAGCCUGAUCCAGCCAUUCCGCGUGCAGGACGAAGGCCUUCGGGUUGUAAACUGCUUUUGUACGGAACGAAAAGGCUCUGGCUAAUACCUGGGGCUCAUGACGGUACCGUAAGAAUAAGCACCGGCUAACUACGUG
rnacentral:rRNA from 1 species